AUUUAGAGGAAGGAGAAGUCGUAACAAGGUUUCCGUAGGUGAACCUGCGGAAGGAUCAUUGUCGAAACCUGCCCAGCAGAACGACCCGCGAACCCGUCUCAACACCGGGGGCCUGCGGGCCUCGUGCCCGUGCGCCCCCCGCCCGUGCGGCGCGGGGUGUCGGUCGCGCGCUCCUGCUCGCGUCCGCCCCCUUCGCCGCGCGUUAACGAACCCCGGCGCGAACCGCGCCAAGGAAUACUUAACGAGAAGCCCGUUCCCGUCGCCCCGGACACGGUGCGCGUGCGGGAUGCGUGGCCUUCUUUCAUUAUCUAUAACGACUCUCGGCAACGGAUAUCUCGGCUCUCGCAUCGAUGAAGAACGUAGCGAAAUGCGAUACUUGGUGUGAAUUGCAGAAUCCCGUGAACCAUCGAGUCUUUGAACGCAAGUUGCGCCCUAAGCCAUUAGGCCGAGGGCACGUCUGCCUGGGUGUCACGCAUCGUUGCCCAACCCCCGGAUCCUGCGAUCUCGCGGCGGUGGGCGGAGAAUGGCCUCCCGUGCGCUUGCGCCCGCGGUUGGCCCAAAUCAGAGUUCUCGGUGACGCUUCCCGCGACAAUCGGUGGCGUUUGAAACACAACCUAGUGAUCCUGUCGUGCGGUCGGCGUUCUCCCGUCCACGGACUCCUCGACCCUCGAGAGCGCGCGAGAGCGCGUUCGCAUCGCGACCCCAGGUCAGGCGGGAUUACCCGCUGAGUUUA
rnacentral:rRNA from 1 species